rnacentral:rRNA from 1 species
CCUACGGGAGGCUGCAGUGAGGAAUAUUGGUCAAUGGACGAGAGUCUGAACCAGCCAAGUAGCGUGAAGGAUGACUGCCCUAUGGGUUGUAAACUUCUUUUAUAUGGGAAUAAAACGCUCCACGUGUGGGAUUUUGUAUGUACCAUAUGAAUAAGGAUCGGCUAACUCCGUGCCAGCAGCCGCGGUAAUACGGAGGAUCCGAGCGUUAUCCGGAUUUAUUGGGUUUAAAGGGAGCGUAGGUGGAUUGUUAAGUCAGUUGUGAAAGUUUGCGGCUCAACCGUAAAAUUGCAGUUGAAACUGGCAGUCUUGAGUACAGUAGAGGUGGGCGGAAUUCGUGGUGUAGCGGUGAAAUGCUUAGAUAGCACGAAGAACUCCGAUUGCGAAGGCAGUUCACUGGACUGCAACUGACACUGAGGCUCGAAAGUGUGGGUAUCAAACAGGAUUAGAUACCCGGGUAGUC